UGGGUCAGUGCUAAGCUGGGGCCCAGAAGCUUCCACGAGCUGGCAGAGGUGGCCAUGGACACCUCACAGGCCGGGGAAGAUGGGCAUUCUUCCCUGCCCUACUAUGCAUAGGAGAGCUCAUUUUUGAUAGGCAUUGAGCUGCACUGUGAAGAGAUGGGCUGUCAGCCUUCCCUGGGGCCCUGUCAGGCUCACCUAUGGACGUGUCCUCCCAGGCGCGUGGUCACUGUCUGCCCACUUGACACUGAGGCUCUGGGCUUAGCAGAUCCGCGUGCGGCCGGCCAGCAGAGGACCCGGGUGACACUGGGUCACGGGAGCCACUAGGAGACAUCGGGUGGCCCUGCAGGGGAAAGUCAAAAUGGACUUCACAGCCCAGCCCCGGGCAGAGCUCAGGAAGGUCCUGCCACCCACCCUCCACCUUUAAUUACUUCACCAUUUGGAACUGGGGAGUGGAGAGCCCGGGCGCAGGAGCAGCCUAGCAUCCCUGGCAGCUUCCCUAGAGAAGCUGUCUUCUCAUUCCCCUGCUACUGACCCCCGAGUGUCACCAGUGCGAAGCCAUGGGGUUGUCUUUACCACAGCGCUCCAGAGUCAUCCUCUUGAAUUCACAGUCCCCAAUCCCCAUCAAAUUAUUCCUUGCCCAGUUAUUUUUCUUCCAAAUUAAUCCAGAAUACAGUACUUCUCUCAUUGGCCCCACGUGCGCAAAACCCACAGAGCGGAAAACAACUGAAAUCAAAGUGGAAUUGAAAUGCACCAGGGGUUUCUCCGCGGGAAUUGUUUCAACAAGGUAGUCGCAUUUUGCCAGAGCCCCUGAAACGUUUCAGGUGUGAUUUGCAUCAUCCCUACCCUCUGACCAGUUCCGGGAACCCCUAGCCCCUUCCCUCUGGGCACCCUGGAGUUUAAUAGUUUGCCUCAGUUUCACCGGUGCCAGGAAGCCCACUUCUCCACCGUCAGGAUCUUACAACUUCUUCUUCUUGCCCUUUAAAAGAAUUACACUUUCCCAAGAAGACUUAAAAAAAUAAAAAGGGCAAGGAAUGGAUGUGGGGUUUGUAAGUGUUAAAUAACUUUCUCAGCAUGUAUUAAAGGAAGAUUGUAUUUUAUCAAAGCUGAUUGAUGCAGUCCUGUGAUCCCGUCGGUUUGUCUAUAGUAUCAUAUUUAUUUAACCUGCUGGGGGACUCCGUUCAGGGGCAGCCUGUUCCCGCUGACAGGAGCACGUGCAUUACACACUACCCCAGGUAUCGUGAUUGAUUGUUCCCACCCCAAAGCCUUUGGUUCAUAAUUUAGCACAGCAGGUUCUGCAUCACAGACUAGGUUUAAAAAAAAAAAAUACUACCCUGUAGGAAAUUUCAGUGAAGGACUAUUGCCACCAAACCUUCCACCACCAAAUAUUUUAAAUGUCUCUGGAUUGUUUGGCUCUUGUCCUUAAUAAUUGCAGGGCAUGGAAACUUUAUUUACCCUAGAUCCCUGAAGUGUGAUCAGAUGACUCAUCCUGCAUUUGUGGCUGGACCAACAUUUCCUGGACCGGGCAGUGGAUGGUACAGGAGGGAGAGGCCGUGAGGACAAGGUCAGAUGGUGCAGGAGUCGCCUCUGGCACUCUUCCUCUUUUUUCCCACAGCAGGUUUGGAGUGUGCCAGCAGUGGAAAGGCAGACAACACUGUUCUUUCCCACGCCUGCUCUUCUGAGUUUGCUUUGUGAACUUAGUUUAUAAAGUUUUCAGGCAGCAAGCUGGAUUCCUAGCAGGUGUACUCACUCUAAGGGUGAAGAAAGAUUUCUUUUCUUCUUUUUUAAACAGCUGUUCAGUGUGCAAGCAAACAUUCAUAAUAUUUGUGUAUUUUCAAGGACAAGGACAUGAUGCUAUAGGCAUGUCCUAGAAAUUCAGAAAGUUGUAACUUGACAUUAGUAUUACAUAGUGCAGGACCAACGAAUAAUUAAUCCCUAUUAGAUUUCUAAAAGGAACUUUUGACAAUUUUUUGCUAACAUUAGUAAAACAAACAUAUAUAUUAUGGAUCAACUAAUAUAUGUUUGUGUAGUAAAUGUUUUUGUCAUAAUAAAAUGGGGCACAUUUUUCUGUGCAUCUUGGUAAUUAUUAUCGUGACUGGUAAUAUUUUUGUUUCUGUGUGUAAAAGCAAUGUUUUCAAAUUGUGAUGAAUUUCUACUCACAAAACUGCUUUUCACUGUACUAGAUGUUUUAAAUUUGUCUUUUAGAGAUUCUUGAAGUCUGAAAAGUCAUAUCUCUCGCUCUCGCUCUCUCUCUCUCUCUCUCUCUCUCUCUCUCUCUCUUUGUGCCUAUCAGUUUUAUUUUGUGACUUUGGGUCAAACGGGGAGUACAUUACUAAAAUGGUUAGUUGUAUAAGUAUGUAAUGCUACCUGCAACGGUGGGCUGGUAGCAUACCAUUUUUAGAAGGAAUUUCAAAUACGUUACACCCCCUAAAGUAUUUUCUUCUUCAAGUCUUAGUUUAAUGUUAGAGGAAUUGUGUUUGAUAUUCUGAGUGAUAGUAGAUUUUUUGGUAAUGUUAACAAUUUUUUCCCCAUCCUUGAGUAUCACCUAUUAAAGUGUAUCUUUUGGCUUAAUUAUGUAUUUUAAAAUAGUGAUAGAGGCAUGAAUCACAUGUGAUACACUUCUGAUACCAGUUACCAUUUGCUUCUAUCACACAUGCCUUAGUUCUGUUGUCAUUAAAGUCUCUGUCUUAAUGUCUCUUGCUAAGAACAGAUCUGAAGACCCCCAUGGCAUGCUUUCUUUGCUGAUAAAAUCAUGUUCAGCAACUUUUUUUAAUCUCUAGAUGUUGCUAUUUAUCCUUCAAUGAUGUUCAAUGACAAAAAUCCCAGAAUGUUUGCAGAGCUCCAGGAGAGGCAUCUUCCUUCUGAGAGAACGUCCAAUAUCGAAAGUAAAUAAGGCAAUUUACCAUAGCAGCAGACUUACACAUCUACCAACCCCUCCUUCUGCAAGGGCACAGGUCUUGACCACUUUGUGCUUGGUUCUCUGGGAUAAGGCCAACAUUUCACAGACUCAUUCUCUGAAUGACAGCCAAAGAGACCAUCAGUUCCUCUCAUUUCAUUUGGGACUGACUUUCCCACCUGCAGGGGACACGAAAAAGCGAAACUGAAGCCCAGCCUUGCUGUGCACACAGUUCUUAUGUUACGUCCCCAGGUUACCCUGGAGAGGUUAAGUUAAGGAGUAGCUUCUCCAGUGAUUUCUCCUACGGAUCGGCCUAUCAGUAUGAGGCGCUGUUAUGAAAACAAUGAAACUAAAUCUGAACUGGUCCUAUUGAGACUUCUCCAAAACCUGCCUGAUACUGAAGUUUCUAAAUUACAAAGCUGCCAGUCCAAGGAUAAAGUGACCAAUGUCCUCCUGGUGUCCUUCAGACCCAGAUACACUAAAUAGCCUUCCAUGUAAAUGCCAGGUUAGCAUGUGGCUCCAGGAAGAGGUGGGAAUGCCCCAAGUCACAGGGAAAUUCUAGACACCUUCAUAAAAUCAAACCACCCUGUAACUCACUCUGUGGCCACUCUAGGUGACAAGGAUACCAGCGUGUUCUUCCCACAAGUUUGCUUAUACUAAAUAUCUGAGUCCUGAGGGCCAGGGAUAUAGCUCAGAGGCACAGCACUUGUCUGGUGAGCAUGAGGUUCUGAGUUCAAUUCCUAGUACAAAUAAAUAAAUAAAAUAAAAUUGAUAAUGGGUAUGCUUAACAUUUCUGUUAAAAAAAAGUCUAAGUCCUUCAUAGCUUUUUAAAACAUCUUCUGUUCAUGAUAUUUAAUACUUUACUGAUAUUUUAACAUUCUUUGCUGGAAGUAGCCUUUGAGAUUUUGUACUUCAUAUGUGCCAUGCCCUACCAUCUAUUAUAUUAGGUUGCCUAAGUCCAAAUUUACUUCUAACAGAAAGAGAUAUUUCCAAACAACAUGUUGGAAUAUUGAUUCACAUGUAAGGUCUUGAUGUGAGUAGGUUGGAAUAAUAAAAAUGUUCAGGGUUUGACUUUGUUUCAGACCACAUAUUUGGCUUUAGAUUUAAGACAAAACCAGUUUUAAUCAGAAAUCUUAGUGGCAUAACGUCAACUGUGGGAUGUUUUUCUUUUUGAUUUUCGAGCUGGCGUCUUGCAAUUUGGAUUGUACGGAAGCGGAGAUCAACACUAAAGGAAAUCGAAAUCCAAGUGUUGAAGAUGGCACAGAGCUCCCUGCCCUCCUCUCCAGGCUGCACACCGUGGGUCCAGAGUGUAACUUGCUUUCCGAAGUCAGGUCACACAGCCUCAGGAUUGUUAUUGAGAACAUAUAAAGAACUAAAAAUAAGCAGUCCUCCCAGAUUUAAAGACACAAUCCAAAAAUGGGCAUCUGAAAUGAACACACACUUCUCAGAUGAAGAAGUACAAAUAACAAAUAAAUGCAUGAAAAAAAUGUUCAACAUUAUUGACCACUCAAGACCGAGAUUUCACCCCACCCUAGAAAGAAUGGCUAGUAUUAAGAAAUCAACCAAUAACAAAUGCUGUGAAAAAGGAACUCUUCUCCAUUAUUGGUGGAAAUGUGGAUUGGUACAACCACUGUGGAAAUCAGUGCAGAGAUUCUUAAAAAACUAGGAUUGGGGGUUCCAUUCAACCCACCUAUUCCCAUUCUGGGCAUCUUCCCAAAUAUUUAAAAAACAUCAUACCACAGUGAUGUAUAUGCACCCAUGUUUAUAGCAACAUGGUUUAUAAUAUCUAAAUCUUGGAAGCAAUAUAAUGCCCAUCAACUGAGGAAUUAAUACAAAAGAUGUGGCAUUUCUAGAUAAUGGAAUACUAUUCAGUCAUAAAGAAUGAUAAACUGGACAUUUUUGUAGAUAAAUGGAUGUUUCUUAAAAACAUACUUAUUAGUGAAAUAAAUGUGUCAAGCAUGCAUAAUCACUGCAUUAUUUCAUUAGUAUGAUAAGGAAAAAAACGUAUUUUGUCCUAGAGAGAAUGAUUUCAGCCAAGCAACAAUGCAGGACACACCUGCCUUCCCUUUAACUAACCCACUGUGAGCCAUUUUGAGUUGACUUUUGGAUGUUUUAACAAAUUUCUGAUGUGCUAUAAGGUUUGAGUUUUCUGCAUGUGAAUAUCCAGUUGUUCCAGUACAUUUAUUGAGGGUACAAUCUUUGGUCCACUUAAUUGCUUUUGUGUCUUUGCCAGAAAUCAAAUGUCUGUUAUGUGGGUACCUAUUUUGGGACUUUAUGUUGGUACUCUGGUGAUUUGUCUAUCAUGAUGUCAAUGCCAUGUUGUCAUGAUUCAUAUAACUUUGUCAUAAGUCAUGAGAUUGGAGAGGGUUGGAAGUCUAACGUUUCUUUAUCAAAGUUGUUUAGACUACUCUGUCUUAUUUAUUUUUAAAUAAACAUAAGAAUCAAAAUGUUCAUCUACAUGAAAAGUGAUGUUGACAAAUUUUUUUUAUUUUUAUUUUUAUUUUUAUUUAUUUAUUUAUUUAUUUUUGUAUUUUGUAUUUUUACUGGUACCAGGGAUCGAACUCACAAUCACAGGCUUGCAAGGUAGGCGCUUAUACCACUGAGCUAAAUCCCCAGCCCCCAUGAUGUUGACAUUUUGAUUAAAGUUUGUGUUUUCUGAUCUUUAUUAUUUUCUCCCAUUCAUAUUUGGUUUCCUUCUCUCUGUUACUUUUGAUAAAAUAGUGUGCAUCUGCUUUGCAAAUUUAAAUGUUUUUCAUUUUUUUCUUACCUUAUUGAACUACCUGGGACCUCAUCUAGAAUGGUGGUCAGAAAUAGUGAGAGUGAACAGCUCCUUACCGUUUGAAUAGAGGAAGCUUUUACACUUUCAUCUCUAGGUGUGAUGGUAGCUGUAAGGGGAUUUUUUUUUUUUUUUGUCUUUUUUUACUUUUUAUUGGUACCGGGGAUCGAACUCACGACCGCCUGCUUGCAAGGCAGGUGCUUAUGCCUCUGAGCUAAAUCCCCAGCCCCUAAUAUCCUAUUUAGUAGUUUUGGAUUAGACUUCCUACAAUCUUUUCCUGAUGAGUCUGUGUCUAUGUUCAUGAGGAAUAUUGUACAUCAAAUAAUUUUUUCUUUUCAGUUUUGAUACUAGUUUUCAAAUAAUAGCCAUAGAGCUGAAUAAUUAUUGUCAUAGAAAAUUAGACAAGGAGUUGUGUUAAGUCUGGUGAAUGCAUCACCUUGCUGUCCAUCCUGUGUUUGGUGGUAGCUUAGGUGUCCCUCUGGUUGAGAGCAGACAGUGUUUGUUCCAAGCACACAUUCAUUUCUGGGGGCUGGGUGAAUUCCAAGAUAGGUCUUUCUCAUGGGAAAGGGUUUUGCAUUGAUUUUUUUCCCCAGAUUUUGUGUCUUUUGGCUUUACAUUGCCCUGUUCAUUUGCAACUUAUAUUUUAACUCCAAUCCCCAACAAGGCAAGUACCCCUCCUUCAUUUCUACUUCCCUCCAUGUGUGUGCUCGACCACUGAGCUAUAGCCCCGGCCCUUUUAGUUCUUGGCUAGCUGAGUCAUAUAAGUGCAUCUUGAACCUGUGAUCAAACUCUUCAAACUCUCUCAGUGCUGGGAUUACAGAUAAUCAUCAAUUAACACCUGCAGAAUUUUACAUGGGGUACCCUGGGAAACUCAAGAUGGCCUGCUUCUUGAGUUUAUAUAAAAGUACAUUGUGGCUCAAUCAUAUCUAAUCCUAUGCUCUGGUUGUUGAUUUGUAUACCAUUUUUGGAUUUCCUUCAGAAUGGUGUUUUUUCCCUGCUAGAUUAAAAAUGGAGUAAGAUACACUCACCACCUUCAAGCUGCUAUCAGCUUAAUGCAGGGGCUGUUCAGUGCGUCACAGUGUUAAGCGCAGUGUUGUGACAUGGGCUACUUAAAUCUAACACAAAACUAGGGAAUAAUUUUAAAUCCCAGGACUCUCAUAUGGGUCCUUACAGUGUCCUAAAAGUAUGAGAUACUGGUUUAGAUUAGGUGACCUCACCUCCCACUGUCUCACACUCUGCUCUCCACAGACAAAGGGAAUUGUCCCCUGUGGUCACUGAAGUACAUCAUGUUAAGCCAAUCCUAAUUUCCUUUCUCUGUUCAUCUGUGGAGGCCCAAGGAAGCCAUUAAGUUAGUGAUUUCCUCCCAAAGCCACUAGGGGCCCAACCACAAUCUAUUCAAAUUAGGUCUUCUCUGAUGCUGUCUAAAAUCUCCACCUUUUUUUGUUUCUACAGAAGAGUUUUCAAUGGUGUGGGACUCUUUUCGAGUCUUAAAAUAUGGUGUUUCAGUGAACAAACAUUAGAAUUCAAUCUACAUUCACAGCCUUUGCUAAGUACAUGAGCUUGUUCAAAUUCCCCAUGUUUGGUGAGUUUUUGAUCCUGCAUCCAUAAAGGGAGAGCUUGUUAACCACAUGGGGUUGUUGUGAAAUGGCUUGAUUUCCCAGGGUACCCCAUGUAAAAUUCUGCAGAAGGGAAGUUGGUCCCUCACAGGUGACUGGGGUACGUGGCACACCUAUGAGCAAGGAGAUGUGAAUGUGGCAAGGUCCAGUGAAAACACCUCGCUUCCUACAUGGAAAGACCCGGAGUGGAGUUGGUUGAGAUGCAAAUGUACUGGUCAGAUAAAAUGGGAGCCAAGAACAGAAUCAGAGGAGCCAGUGGAUGCGAUAGGUGUGUGUGCGGUCCAGCACAGAGGUGAUCGAGGCUCAGGUCUCAUCCUGGGACUCUCUCUGAAGGCAGAUCCAUGUGCAGCCAGGGUCAUGUGGUUCACAUUCUAAACUGAGAAACGUGUCUGCUAGGGAGGGUGGUCGUAUGGGUUCCUCACAGCAGAAUAUCAGUAGAAGAAACUCACUUUGAAGAAGCGUUAUUUGUUGUUUCGUGGAUAUGCAAGUCAAAGGUAGGCAAAACAAAACCAAACCAAAGCAAAAAAAAAAAAAAAAAAAAAAAAAACAAAAAACCCAAACAAACAGACUAAUGAAAUCCACAGAUUCCUGUUCUCGAAAUCCAUUCACAGUGGUUACUGCAGCUUUUUAUGUAUCUCUGAAAUACAGACCCUUCCUAAAGCAGGUUAUAUAUUCAGUCCAGUGUCCACUUUGUAAUAAUAACACUUGUAAUUCUAGUGUACAGUCUUUCGCAGAUAGAUGCUGUUAGAGAAAAGUUGUCAGACUAAAAACAGAAAUAGACAAGAUGGCUGUAUGUGGUCAGCAUAUCUGUAAUCCCAGCCAAUCUGGCGGCUGAGCCGGAAGGUUCUCCCACUCAAGUCCAGGGGAGCCAACUAAGUGAGACUCUGUUUCAAAAAAAACAAAUAAUUAAAAAGAGCUAGAGUUAUAACACCCUGUGAAGCUCUGGGUUUGAUACCUUGUUAAAAAAAAAAAAACAAAACAAAGCAAAACAAAAUACAUGGUGAACGUUUGACUUUACAGAUCUGUAA